UGCAGAAUACUGAUGCAUCAACAACCAGCGGCUGAGAGUUGAAAUGUAUACUGCAUUGUUUGCUAGCCGUAGCCAGAGAGAUGCAGGGAGAAUUGGGCGGAAGUGCCCAGAAGAUCUCUUCUCCAUCGAAGAAGCAAACUCAGGAGGGUGCAGACCAAGGUCCUACCAUAGCAUCAAUCACUGCUGACAGUAAAGAUAUAAGCAUGGUGCCAUUCCAUCCCUGUGAAGUCAAGGUCUUCCUCCAGGAUCAGGUUGUCUUUCACUAGACUGAUUGCUAGCCUGAUGUACUCCUGUUUUUGUAUGGCUAUAUGUCCUCCAGCCUGAGUACUCUAAAGGCUUGACCUAUAAUUUCGAGUUCAUUUAGAAAUCCUGCUAAAUGUGGAUGGAGUAAAACUGAAACCACCAAACAUUAUCUGUAAACUACAAAAGUAGUGUAAGAAAAGUACUUGCAAAUAUGUUGAAAUGAUGCUGUUUUGUUGAGAAGAUGUUAAGCUGUUAUAGCUGUGAUUGUGGCCCUUAAAUCAGUGCAGUGUCAUGUUGGAUUCUACAGUUUGCUAAAUAAAAAAGAUACACUUUA